rnacentral:rRNA from 1 species
AUUGAACGCUGGCGGCAUGCCUUACACAUGCAAGUCGAACGGCAGCACGGGAGCAAUCCUGGUGGCGAGUGGCGAACGGGUGAGUAAUAUAUCGGAACGUGCCCAGUCGUGGGGGAUAACGCAGCGAAAGCUGUGCUAAUACCGCAUACGAUCUACGGAUGAAAGCGGGGGAUCGCAAGACCUCGCGCGAUUGGAGCGGCCGAUAUCAGAUUAGCUAGUUGGUGGGGUAAAGGCCCACCAAGGCGACGAGCUGUAGCUGGUCUGAGAGGACGACCAGCCACACUGGAACUGAGACACGGUCCAGACUCCUACGGGAGGCAGCAGUGGGGAAUUUUGGACAAUGGGCGCAGGCCUGAUCCAGCAAUGCCGCGUGCAGGAUGAAGGCCUUCGGGUUGUAAACUGCUUUUGUACGGAACGAAACGGCCCUUUCUAAUACAGGGGGCUAAUGACGGUACCGUAAGAAUAAGCACCGGCUAACUAUGUGCCAGCCGCCGCCGUAAAAC